GUGGGCUAUGGGGACAUGUGUCCAACCACACCAGGAGGGAAGAUCGUAGGGACCCUCUGUGCCAUUGCUGGAGUCCUCACCAUUGCCCUUCCUGUGCCUGUCAUUGUCUCCAAU
rfam:Monodelphis domestica chromosome 2, whole genome shotgun sequence.